GGCAGGUAGCCUAGCGGUUAGAGUGUUGGGCUAGUAACCGGCAGGUAGCCUAGCGGUUAGAGUGUUGGGCCAGUAACCGGCAGGUAGCCUAGCGGUUCGAGUGUUGGACUAGUAACCGGCAGGUAGCCUAGUGGUUAGAGUGUUGGGCUAGUAACCGGCAGGUAGCCUAGUGUUUAGUGUUGGGCUAGUAACCGGCAGGUAGCCUAGUGGUUAGUGUUGGGCUAGUAACCGGCAGGUAGCCUAGCGGUUAGAGUGUUGGGCUAGUAACCGGCAGGUAGCCUAGUGGUUAAAGCGUUGGGCUAGUAACCGGCAGGUAGCAUAGUGGUUAGAGUGUUGGGCUAGUAACCAGCAGGUAGCCUAGUGGUUAAAGCGUUGGGCUAGUAACCAGCAGGUAGCCUAGUGGUUAAAGUGUUGGACUAGUAACCGGCAGGUAGCCUAGUGGUUAGAGCGUUGGGCUAGUAACCGGCAGGUAGCAUAGCGGUUAGAGCGUUGGGCUA